UGAACUGCUUGUGAACUGCUUGUGAAUGGGU
rnacentral:piRNA from 1 species